AGCUCCAUCAGGUGCUCAGAACCCUGUCCAGCCUGACCUGGAGUGUCUCCAGUUCUCUUUGUGUAGCUGAUGCUACAAGACACAUCGCUGGGAGAAUGAUAAUAGGAAGACUGAGAAAACACUCAGAAUCACGUAGUCCUUGGUUCUAUGGUGUAGCAUUUGCCUCCGCUUACUCUAUAAGAGAUUCCUUCAAGAAGGGCAAUUCUAAAAGACCUACUUAAACAAUUCCUACUAUGACUCUUGUUACUAUACCCAAAAUGUCUUACUCUGAUGUCAUGAUAGAUAAAACGUCAUCAAUACUGUGUAAUAUUUAAGACGUUCCAAAGGUGUGAAAGGCAUGUUAAUACCAGUCUACUUAGCCGAUAGCUCUUCCAAGUCUUCCAAAACAGACCAACUUCGGUGUUGAACUCUACAGACUUAUUUCAUAAUAGGACCCUUGAAAGCAAAGGCAGGACUAUUCUGCAGAACGAGGAGAGGGUUCCAGCAGAACCCACACAGAGAAGUACACCAGGGUGACCUCUAUGCUCUGUUACAUCUGAUGUCAAAUGGGUUUGCAUGUAAAUUAUUUUAAGAAGCAAUAACAGAUUAUAAAUUAACUCUGAGAUUAUUGAGCCAUUCAUUUGUGCAAAUCCUUUGAUUUCUCUUACGUAAGCAUAUACCCUGCAGUUGUCCAAAUUAUAUGUAAUAUUCUCAAGUUCACUUGCAUUAAAAUAUAGCCAUUGGUUGAAUCUCCAGUUUCUGUGAGCUGGUUAGAAGCAGUGGGAUGAGGUCUGGUGUCACCGAGAUGGAUGAUCCUUGGCGUCCUUUCAUCACAUGGGAUAUGGCACAUUGUCUAGCGCACUGCCAAGUCAUCAGUUCUGUCAGAAGAUGAAGGACUCUAGUCAGAAAAGGACUGCCAGAUUUCUGCAGCAUUUGAUUCUGUAUUUUGUCCCUAGCAGAGCCACUCCGUUUCCAGUAUUUGUUGAUGGAAUGUUUGGCAGCCCUGGGAGAAACAACCGCAGCACAUUUGACAUUCACAAAAUCUUUAUCAACGUAGGGUUUGUAGCUAAAAGAAGUGAGAAAUGAUCUGCUGCUGAGUGUCCCUAAGCAAAACAAUGAGGUACAUGUAUUGCUGCUCAGGAUAGCAUCUGCAUGAUAUCUGCUAUGGACUUUUCCAUUGUUUCCUUGUUCUCUGGAUACCGUAGGCACUUCAGAGUUCUCUUCAUUGCAGCCUCAGGGUGUUGUGGGAGGAUGGCAAAUACAUGAAGAACAGCACCAAGUAUUAUUUUUGUAUUAUCUUAACCUUAUUAAAAGACAUAAUACAAAAUGACAGUCAGAUAAAUGUUCAUUCAUUACCUAUGAAGUUUAGAAGCAAUAAAUAAUAGUUUCAAGGUAUUAUCCAGUUGACUAUGAAAUUAAUUUGUGUAAAGUUUUAUAAUUUAUAUAAACUUCUAUGUGUUUAUUAUUUUUAUGAAAAGGCACUUAUUUUUUAUGUUGGAUUUACCUACAUUAUUCUCCAAUAAUUGAUUAUUUGGAGAAAUAAAAAAGAGUGCAC
ensembl:lncRNA